ncrna:unclassified sequences Mu-gpT-DE RNA
CCUUGACAGUUACAAAAAGUGACUGACAUUUGCCAAGACAAGGAGAUUGACAUG